rnacentral:rRNA from 1 species
AGAGUUUGAUCCUGGCUCAGAUUGAACGCUGGCGGUAUGCUUAACACAUGCAAGUCGGACGGCAGCAGGCCUUCGGGCGCUGGCGAGUGGCGGACGGGUGAGUAACGCGUAGGAAUCUGCCUGUUAGUGGGGGACAACUUAGGGAAACUUAAGCUAAUACCGCAUACGCCCUACGGGGGAAAGGAGGGGACCUUCGGGCCUUCCGCUAACAGAUGAGCCUGCGUUGGAUUAGCUGGUUGGUAGGGUAAAGGCCUACCAAGGCGACGAUCCAUAGCUGGUCUGAGAGGACGAUCAGCCACACUGGGACUGAGGCACGGCCCAGACUCCUACGGGAGGCAGCAGUGGGGAAUAUUGGACAAUGGGCGCAAGCCUGAUCCAGCAAUACCGCGUGUGUGAAGAAGGCCUGAGGGUUGUAAAGCACUUUCAAUGGGGAGGAACACCUUAAGGCGAAUACCCUUAAGACUGACAUUACCCAUACAAGAAGCACCGGCUAACUCCGUGCCAGCAGCCGCGGUAAUACGGAGGGUGCGAGCGUUAAUCGGAAUUACUGGGCGUAAAGCGUGCGUAGGCGGCUUGUUAAGUCAGAUGUGAAAGCCCUGGGCUCAACCUGGGAACGGCAUUUGAAACUGGCGGGCUAGAGUUGGGUAGAGGGGAGCGGAAUUCCGGGUGUAGCGGUGAAAUGCGUAGAUAUCCGGAGGAACACCAGUGGCGAAGGCGGCUCCCUGGACCCAAACUGACGCUGAGGUACGAAAGCGUGGGUAGCAAACAGGAUUAGAUACCCUGGUAGUCCACGCCGUAAACGAUGUCGACUAGCCGUUGGGCCCUUCUAGGGUUUAGUGGCGCAGCUAACGCAUUAAGUCGACCGCCUGGGGAGUACGGCCGCAAGGUUAAAACUCAAAUGAAUUGAGGG